GAUGAACGCUGGCGGCGUGCCUAAUACAUGCAAGUCGAGCGAAGCGGGGACGGGUGAGUAACCGUGGGAUAACCACCUAUAAACUGGGGAUACCUCGGGAAACCGGAGCUAUACCGGUAACAUUUAGAUGAAUCUCGGUUGAAUGGGCUAGUUGGUAAGGUAACGGCUUACAAAGGCAACGAUGCAUGGCGGACCGGAGAGUGUGAUCGGCCACACUGGAACGUAGACACGGUCCAGACUCCUACGGGAGGCAGCAGUAGGGAAGCUUCCGCAAUGGGCGAAAGCCUGACGGAGCAAUGCCGCGUGAGUGAUGAAGGUCUUCGGAUCGUAAAACUCUGUUAUUGGGGAAGCGGUACCUAAUCAGAAAGCCACGGCUAACUACGUGCCAGCCGCCGCGGUAAUAC
rnacentral:rRNA from 1 species